GACCCGGUAGCUCAGUCGGUAGAGCAACGGACUUUUAAUCCGUAGGUCGCGGGUUCGAGACCCGCCCGGGUCA
rfam:Gemmatimonadetes bacterium SCN 70-22 ABS52_C0032, whole genome shotgun sequence.